rnacentral:rRNA from 1 species
AUACAACUUUCAGCAACGGAUCUCUUGGCUCUCGCAUCGAUGAAGAACGCAGCGAAAUGCGAUAAGUAAUGUGAAUUGCAGAAUUCAGUGAAUCAUCGAAUCUUUGAACGCACCUUGCACUCCUUGGUAUUCCGAGGAGUAUGCCUGUU